GCAGUGUUUGGAAUAGAUCCAGAUCCCAGAACUUCUCUAUCUAUUGUAUUUCAGAGAGGAUUCCCAAACACAUGGCAGAAGAGCUGUUUGAGAUGCACAGCGUCAGAAUGGGACAGAGCUACUGCAGCAAACCAGGUUUUGUACUUGAGAAAGGAAUGAGUGAAAUGCAGAUCAUUUAUUUGCCUUCUGCCCUGUCCACAGCAUGGCCUGGCUCUCUCAGAUCUGCUUGGGGAGACUUUCCUGGCUGCAGGGAUGAACAGGUGAGACUCAAAAACAGGUAA
rnacentral:lncRNA from 1 species